CGUUGAAACACCGGCUCUCAUAUGGUCACUGAAGCUAAGCAACUUCGAACCUGAUCAGUACCUAGAUGGGUAACCGGUUGGAAAUACCAGGUGCUGUAAG